rnacentral:rRNA from 1 species
AUUGAACGCUGGCGGCAGGCCUAACACAUGCAAGUCGAACGAGUGGCGGACGGGUGAGUAAUGUCUGGGAAACUGCCUGAUGGAGGGGGAUAACUACUGGAAACGGUAGCUAAUACCGCAUACCAUCGGAUGUGCCCAGAUGGGAUUAGCUAGUAGGUGGGGUAAAGGCUCACUUAGGCGACGAUCCCUAGCUGGUCUGAGAGGAUGACCAGCAACACUGUAACUGAGACCCGGUCCAGGCUCCAACGGGAGGCAGCAGAAGGGAAUAGUAGACAAUGGGCGCAAGCCUGAUGCAGCCGUGCGGCGUGUAUGAAGAGGGCCUUCGGGAUGUAAAGUACUUUCAGCGGGGAGGCGUUACCCGCAGAAGAAGCACCGGCUAACUCCGUGCCAGCAGCCGCGGUAAUAC